AAGUGAAAGUUCACUGUGCUACCUUACAUCACUGAUGGGGGAUAGGAGGGACAAAGACACUUUAUUUGCUCUGCUGUGUAGUGACCAGACUGUGUGAUAAUGCCUGAGUAACAAGACACUCAGAGGGAACAGACUGGGGGAUAUGAACGCACUAACAAGUAGGACUUGCACAAAAGACAUCCCCAGGGACGCAGCUUCAUUUCACAGGUUCUGCCUGGAGCUUGGCUCUGCUGCCCUGCCCUACCCAAAGGCAGCCUGGAAGAACAGUAUGGGAUGAACAGAGACUAAAUUGGCAAAAUGUUUCUCAAAGGCCUGAGGCUGACUUACAGGGAAGAAAACAACCAAACAUAAAGCAUAUUGUGCCCUUCACCACCCCUGAGCAAUGAAGCGCAGCAUCGGAAGCUUUUGUGAGGCAGGUGGCAUGCCAAAGUCCGCGCAGCAGCUGUGCCAACCCUGGGCAUUUUGAAUGCCUAAAGAAAACACGCAUGCUGUUCUUCAGGUCUAAGCAGUUUGUGGUUUGCCUGGGGCCUUCAGCAGCAAGGAGAGGAGAGGAAGCAGCAUGGCAGCUCUGCUGCUGGCCAGCAGUGUGGAGGACUCGCUGCUCAGAUGUCUGAAGCAGAAGGUUCAGCUGUUUUGGUGCCCGUGCUGGCAGUCAUGCUCCGCUGGUCACUGCCACCAGAGAGCCCUGCAGACCGAGCCCCGCUGCAGCCCUGUGCUGGGUGACCCGGCGGCGUCUGCCAGCCGCAUUUCCUGCAGCAGCUUAGCAGAUAUUGACACACCAACAACAGUUCAGUGACCGUGACGGGUUCCUCCCACACUGCAGCACCUAUGAUUUGUAUUAAAAUGGCAUACCAAGUGCUGCAAGUUCUAAAUAAGGGAGGUUCCCUCUCCUAGGCGGUGUACCAUCCAAGGCUAGAGGGAUUGCUGCACUCCUGCUACCCAUGGUCCAUGGCAGACUGGGAUAGAAUUCAGAGCUUCUAAAUCCUAGAUUAGCGAACUAACAAGAUUAUCCUUUCACUCUGAAAACAAGAUUGAGAGAGAGAUUUUGGUAACAUCCAAAACUAUUUACAUUAAAUUUCCUGGAACUGUAAAACAUUUUAAUUUUAUGCUUAAGGAAAAAACCAACCUACCUCUGUUAGCAGAGUGUAAAAGUCCAUCUUGAUCACACAGAUACAGGCACGUGUCAGUUACAAAGCUGUUUGAAAGUUAUACUACUGACAUGUCUUUGAUUUUUAAUAGGUCCUGUGACCUACUAUGAAUGCCUUCAUAAUGAAAAUAACUUGUUCCAUGAAAGAGCAGAUGUCCUAGUACUUAAAUACUUGCUGCUGCCAUGCCAAAGUCUUCUGCUUAAUGGCAUUAGAAGCAGCAGUUUGUCCUGAUCAAUAGUUCUGCUAACAUUCUAGAUGCCACAGAGAGCCAGAACAGGUGGAUCUCCCAUAAGAAAGAGUUUUUAUGGGCCAGGUUUUGUACAAAGUGCUGGGUGUAUACAGUUCUGCAGAGCAACUUCCGGCAUUGGGUACGUAGGCUUCCCUCCACCUUUCUACUACAAAUUCUUUUAUGGCAUUUAUGAUAUGUUUAUUUGAAGAAUUGUGUUACGCCCAAGCAAUAUAGCUGUAGCCUGACCAAAGCAAUGAAUUGUCUAAGGGAAAGAAAAAGUCACAGGCAAAUCUUAAAUUUAAAGUAUACCUUUGGCACAGAAAUCUCUAAAUCCAAAGGUGCCUUCAGCUGAUCUCUCACACUUUCCCUAGCUUCUCUUGCAGCAGAGGUGGACCUCUUCUAUUCCAUUCUCUUCACAUAUUUUCCAAUAGAACAACUCCCCUCUUUACAAUAUUGCUACCUGCAUCCUCUCUGUGUUUUGAGGUCUGCUGAGGAUGAAGAAACAGAGUGCCCCUCUGUGACCAUUUUCUUGCAGGUGUAAGAACAUUGAAACAGAUAAAUCCUGUGCAUGUCUGUGAGUGGUAUGAGGGUGCCCACAGGCCAGGCUGAAUGGGGCCUUGAGCAACCUGAUCCAGUGGGUGGCAUCUCUACCCACAGCAGGGGAGUUGGAUGUAGAUAAUCUUUAAGAUCCCUCCCUACACAAGCCAUUUGAUCAUACUAUAUUAGGGCCUGGCCUCCAUGGGCCUCCUUCCCACACACUUUGGUCAAACCAUGGCAGCACUUCAGUGCAAUGACAGAGGUGUCAGGACAUCCAGACUGCUCCUCUCCUCAUGGCAGAACGUCGUGGAUAGUCACUGUUAGCAUCACACAGCAUCGUGCCCUCCUGGUUGCCUGCUGUGCGUGUGGGGGAUGUAUAUACCCAUCAAGAGACUACUUAUGUACCCUAUAUGGGGACAAAAGCUAUGUCCAGCCAUGUCACAUGGGUGGAUGUGCACUCAACAUUUGAUGGGAGUUGCGAAGUUUCACCAUGUCAGCUUUAUACUUAGUACAUACCAUGGAAGGAGCUUUAUCCAUGUCUCCCUUCACUGUUCCCCUUAAAAGGCUCCCUUGUCCCGAGCUGGUGUCAGAGUGCUUUAUUUCAACUCCAAACACCAAUUUUUGAGUACAAUGAGGGCUGUGCCCAGGAGCUGGUGGGACUGCCUAGCAUGGCCUUGAGGAGAGAGAGGAGAAAAGAUGUGUUUGCUUGUAUGUUAGGAAUAUGAGCGGUGGAGAAACUGCCAUUAACAUGCUUGCAGAACUGGAUCUGUUCUCCCAUCUGUAUUUAUCACAACGAGAAAGACUAUCUGUACUAUCCAGUAUAACAACAACAACAACAAAACCAGCAAAAAUAACAAUAAUACAUCUUAGCCCAAUUCCAUGAGACUUUAUUGCUUUGUCAUUUAGUUUAUUAGUAUUAUUAAUACUAAUAAAUUUCCAGCAAAUUUCCAGCAAAACUAAGGCAGGCCAUGAUAAUGGGGGAAAGAAGAGCUGUACCAAUGGCAAAUGGCCAACUCCCGUAUCACCAUAUUCCCAAGGCAAGGAAUUUCCACUUUUCCACUGAAAUCCAUUUUUAGUUGUUUAAAUACGCAUUUUUAUUGCAUUAUUCCAUUAUUUUUUUUCUGAGGUGUAUGAUUUGUACAACAUCCACCAUAAAUCGGAAAUAUGCAGUAUCUAGACUGUGUUAGGAAUGUCCAUGCUCCAGGAACGGAUUUUAUAGAUUUAGAAAUGAGCAAGUUAGAAAUUGCAUGGUGUGGCUGCAGCAGAGCAGGUGCGGGACAUCAGCCUUCCCCUCGAGCUGUUUCACGCCUCUGCCACUGCCUGUUGGCCAACAAGGAGAGUAAAUGUCACUUGGGUGCUGUGCUGCAGCCCACGCCUUCGCCAGGGCCAAAGUGCAAGCCGUACAGCCUGGCUCAGGAGCAGGCAGCAUAUUCCUGUUGCUUUCCCUACCCUGCAAGGCUGGAGGCCUGACUGCGGCAGCACCGGUCAGCCCUGCUGGGACCCUGCUGCCACUGCUGCAGCACAGGAGCCCUGUUUGCACAGGGUACCCACAGCUGUCUUCCUCCAGAUCCAAGAGGCUCCUCUUGCCAUCACAGUGCUCUGGGUCUGAGGUGUGUCUGCGCUUUAGGAUUGGAAAAGCUUCUCUUUUUUUCCCUACAGGGUGUUUUUGUUUUGAAAGCUAAAUCUGCAGAGAAAAGAGAACACAGAUUCUGCUACCGGAGCCAAGUCUUCAUGCCAGAUUUUAUGAUAUAGCAUAUACACCUUCAAAGUCUCACUUUAUUUUGCUCAUUAAAGAAUUAUUUGCAUGGGGAGGCUUUGAUUCUGCAUGAGUGGAUAAACUGUUGUCAUGAAAUUUCUUUCGUUCUUUA